AAAUACAUCCAUCCCUGGGUGGAUGUCUGUCUAGUUAGCCCUGGGUCAAUUCCCAUUCUCCUGUCCCAGAAACUCCUGGCGUUGGUCAGCCGUCACGUGCCCGUAGAACUGCUCUUUGCUGCCACGCUGUCCUCCAGCACUGGCUGCAGAGCGGGGCUCAGCCUGCCUGGCUCCCCUGUGCCGGGCUGUUUUCAACGUCAGCACACCAGGGGGCAGAACAGAAAAACAUAGAAUGAAGAAACAUUCACAGCUACUGUUCACUUCUACUAAUUGACUGAUCAGAAAUCCUGAGAUGCACAGAGAUCUGCUAACACCUAAAGCCUGGAAACGAAGACCAACGCUCCUCGGGAGGCUUGAGCCACAAAAAUGCAAGAGAUAGCAACAUUUUUUCCUGUACUUAAUUUCUAAUAACUAUUAUAGGAAGCGCUGAUGUAAGUUUGGCUAAGUGUCUGUUUCCCACUGGAAUGUGAUCACACAAAAAUAAUGCAGGAUCUCAAGGGCUAUUCCCACUUUUCCAAAGGGAGAAAGUUGAUAAGUACUGCAGUGGUUAGGGAUUGUUUCAAACUUGCAUAAUUGUUACAGGCAAAGAAAAGAUCAUAAUCAUGUAGGAAGUUCCAGUGUUCCCGAAUCCUGAAUGUAGCCACCUCUUGGCCCACUGGAGGUAAAAUAGUUUGUGAAUUGAAAAACUUGUAGACAAAAUAAAAUGGUUUUCUUUUUCAGGUGUUUAUACCCUAACUCUCAAACACUGUUAAAGUCUCAAAAAUCAACUCAGAACUCAUUAAACAUUUUGAUCCUCCCCAAAAAACACAAAAUCUGAGACAUAUUGUUGCAAAUCACAAUCAAGCUUUGUAUAACUUAAAACACACUCAAAAUGUAAUGUUUCACCUUAACCCAAAGAUAACCAAUUUUCCUAAUAUAUGUAUCACAAUCUAUUGAUUCAUACACUCACCUCUUCAUAAUACCAAGGAUAAACUGACCACCAGUUUCUUCUUUUAAAGGAAAUAUUAUCAUUCAAAUAUUUGUUAAGAUGACAGUUUGAUCAGACUUCCUGAAAAGUACCCUAAGGGGAGUCUUUAUUUAGUAGCUGAUGGAAUAAAGCCUCUGCUUUUUAGUUCUCUCUUUAAAAAAAAAAAAAACAUUAUUUGACUUUUUUGAGUGAAUCAAAAACAUUGCAAGGAAUAACUCUCUAAGGGAUUUAAUAAAAUGCUAAACAAAACUUAGUUUGCAUUUUAAUCCUGAACAAAACAAAAAGUAGCAAACUAUGAUCUUCUCUACCCAGAGCGCUUUUUGGUUCUCCUGGGGCUUGUCACUAUUCUCUGUUCAGGAAAUGAGAGCUGUCAUUUUCUGUUUUAUUUUUUGCCUGAAAGCUCUCCAGUACUUUUUUUGGUCACUGUUACCUUUGACCCCAAAUCUUUUCUCCAUUAACAUAUUUGCCUUUGCUCUGCAAAUCCCUCAUGACGGAAAGUCACCUAGGAGUCUUAGAUGUGGCUAAAGGGGAACAAAAUAUUCCAUAAAAUUUUAACAGGCACUGUUGAAGUCUUCUUGAUCCAAAAUUGCCCUCUUACUCCCCAAAAGCUCUUCUUCAAAGCUCUUGCUUAGGGACUGAGGUUUCGUGCGGCCGCUCCGCCCAGCGUCUCUUCCAGCUGCUCUGCUAAAUGCGACGGUGAUGCCCGUGAAGGGGGUGUGAUGGCUUUUGCUUUCUUCUUAUCAGUUGGUCUGAAGAUGGUCCUUCUGUGCUAUAAAUGCCUUUCAAUGAAUGUUGCGAGAGCUGUGCACAGGCUUGAAUCUCAGAUGAAAUCAGCUUGUUAAUUUUCAGCUGUUUCGCAAAAGAUGAAAAAAACCUUCCUGAGAGAGCCCUCUCCCCUGCCCCCAAUUUGAGCACUGGGUUACCUGUGCCAUAAAAAUACAGAGAACACUUUUGAAGUCAGUGACUUGAAUUUUUAAAGGUCGUCAGAUGGGCUUUCAUUUUCAUGAUAUUUCAGUUCAGUUCAGUCGCUCAGUCCUGUCCGACUCUUUGUGACCCAAUGGACUGCAGCAUGCCAGGCCUCCCUGUCCAU